GACGAACGCUGGCGGCGUGCUUAACACAUGCAAGUCGAACGGAAAGGCCCUGCUUGCAGGGUACUCGAGUGGCGAACGGGUGAGUAACACGUGGGUGAUCUGCCCUGCACUUCGGGAUAAGCCUGGGAAACUGGGUCUAAUACCGGAUAGGAGCCAUUUUUAGUGUGAUGGUUGGAAAGUUUUUUCGGUGUAGGAUGAGCUCGCGGCCUAUCAGCUUGUUGGUGGGGUAAUGGCCUACCAAGGCGGCGACGGGUAGCCGGCCUGAGAGGGUGGACGGCCACAUUGGGACUGAGAUACGGCCCAGACUCCUACGGGAGGCAGCAGUGGGGAAUAUUGCACAAUGGGCGCAAGCCUGAUGCAGCGACGCCGCGUGGGGGAUGACGGCCUUCGGGUUGUAAACUCCUUUCGCUAGGGACGAAGCUUUUUGUGGCGGUACCUAGAUAAGAAGCACCGGCUAACUACGUG
rnacentral:rRNA from 1 species